GACGAACGCUGGCGGCGUGCUUAACACAUGCAAGUCGAACGAAGUGGCGAACGGGUGAGUCACGCGUAAUCAACCUGCCCCUCAGAGGGGGACAACAGUUGGAAACGACUGCUAAUACCGCAUACUGAAGGAGGGGAUGGCGUCUGAUUAGCUAGUUGGAGGGGUAACGGCCCACCAAGGCGAUGAUCAGUAGGCGGGCUGGAAGGGAGAACGGCCACCAUGGGACUUGAACAAGGCCCAAACCCCUACGGGAGGGAGCAGUGGGGAAACUUCCGCAAUGGACGAAAGGCUGACGGAGCAACGCCGCGUGAGUGAUGACGGCCAUAGGGUUGUAAAGCUAUGUUAAUCGGGACGCGGUACCGGAAUAGAAAGCCACGGCUAACUACGUGCCAGCAGCCGCGGUAAUAC
rnacentral:rRNA from 1 species